rnacentral:lncRNA from 1 species
GAGCCUUUGGCAUAUUGUAUGUACAGGAAAGGUUCCACAUGACCUCAUCCUGUCCCAGAACUAUUUAACAGGUUGGUUAAUAAUCGGGUUAUUAAUAUAAUAGGUUUUCUCUGUGUAUUUUCAAGGGAUUGGAUGGUUAAUCCGUGACCAUUUUGCAUUCAUGCAUACAACCUGCCAAUAAUGGAUACAGUAAUAUGUCAAAAAGCAUACCUGUUAAGCUUUGCAAAUGAAAAUGCUUUCUGAACUGCACAUACAGGCUAAAAAAGCUAUGAUUUUCACGAGGCUAAACCUCUAAGUCAGCACAAUUGUAUUGCGUUGGGAAUAACUGCAGAUGGAUCCAUCCUCAAUAGAGGGCAGUAGAGGAUGAUAAUGUAACUGUUGAUCUAUUCACUUUGUUGUGUUCAGACCAAUUCUCUAAUAUCAUUUAACGGGCUUUAAAAUGUACCCUUUUAUCUUGAAAAAGGAGGAAGCAAGAACGUCAGCCAUCUGGGAGACACACUGCCAACACCCAGAUGUCAGCAUCCUCCUGCACCAUUUACUCAAUCAACGCAAGAUGAAUUUGUGCUGAGUGGCUGCUCCUCCACUUUGUCUUCGAUCCACCACCUGCCUGUGCCAGAAGACACCCUUCCUGAGCUCAAGCACAAUCACUGUGCUGUAGCUACAGCAAAUACCUUAUUCUUUCUGCUGUUUCCAAUGGAACUGCAAAUCAGACCGCUCAAUGGCUGUUGACACACACUGAGAAGCCUGAUAUCAUGGCACAAGACAAAUGUGCAUUGAAAACUUCCUCAAGGUGGCAGUGAGGGCCCAGAACAAUUGGCCUAAUGUGAUGGCUGUUAAAAUGUGCAACAGUGUUCUUCCCUCAUGACACCACGAGCCAUAUUCCUUGCUGGAAAGACUGGAAUUAGAUGUGAUGGAAAGUUGGGAAUUUCUACCAAACCACUGGAAGAAGCUGAAUGAGGCUCCUUCAAGUACUUCUUCAAGUAGCAAGAAGGAGACAAAUUCCAAUGUCAGUAAAACAUCCAGAGGAAGAAACUGACCUCCCUAGCUCUUCCCAAAGUGUAACUUAAAGUGUCUUUUCUGCAAAUUACAUUGAUUUAUUUUUGUCCUUCUCUUAGUGGCCAUGGAGAACAAAUGGUGACUGUCCUCUUUAAAGCGAUUGUUUACAUAUUGAAAAACUCAUACUUUUCCCUCUAGUCUUUCUUCUAUAGACUAAACAAACUUGGUUCCUUCAACAUUUCCUCAUCACUCAUGUUUUAUAAACCUUUUAUCAUUCCUGUAGCUUUCUUCUGGCCAAUCUCCAAUUUGUAUACAUCCUCAAUUCUGCUGGGCCAUGUUUGGUCAUGGCUGACAAUCUGUCCCAAGGAAAAAUGUCACACUUCUGGCUGAGAUGUUAGAGGUCUGUUUCCAGAUUCUGCAUAUUUCCAUGGUAAGCAUUUUACAUAUCCAUAAGCAUUUCGGCUUCUGUUAGUACCACUAAAUAUAUAAAGUAAAUAAAAACAAAACAAAACCAAAACUAAAUCA